rnacentral:rRNA from 1 species
AUUGAACGCUGGCGGCAUGCUUUACACAUGCAAGUCGAACGGUAACAGGCCUUCGGGUGCUGACGAGUGGCGAACGGGUGAGUAAUGCAUCGGAACGUACCCAGAGGUGGGGGAUAACGCAGCGAAAGCUGUGCUAAUACCGCAUGUGAUCUGAGGAUGAAAGCGGGGGACCGAGCAGCAAUGUUUGGCCUCGCGCCUUUGGAGCGGCCGAUGUCGGAUUAGCUAGUUGGUGGGGUAAAGGCCUACCAAGGCGACGAUCCGUAGCUGGUCUGAGAGGACGACCAGCCACACUGGGACUGAGACACGGCCCAGACUCCUACGGGAGGCAGCAGUGGGGAAUUUUGGACAAUGGGCGCAAGCUGAUCCAGCAAUGCCGCGUGCGGGAAGAAGGCCUUCGGGUUGUAAACCGCUUUUGGCAGGAACGAAACGGUGUCCGCUAAUACCGGGCGCUAAUGACGGUACCUGCAGAAUAAGCACCGGCUAACUACGUG